GUAGGGAAUCUUCGGCAAUGGACGAAAGUCUGACCGAGCAACGCCGCGUGAGUGAAGAAGGUUUUCGGAUCGUAAAACUCUGUUGGUAGAGAAGAACGUUGGUGAGAGUGGAAAGCUCAUCAAGUGACGGUAACUACCCAGAAAGGGACGGCUAACUACGUGCCAGCAGCCGCGGUAAUACGUAGGUCCCGAGCGUUGUCCGGAUUUAUUGGGCGUAAAGCGAGCGCAGGUGGUUUAUUAAGUCAGAAGUGAAAGGCAGUGGCUCAACCAUUGUGUGCAUUGGAAACUGGGAGACUUGAGUGCAGGAGAGGAGAGUGGAAUUCCAUGUGUAGCGGUGAAAUGCGUAGAUAUAUGGAGGAACACCGGAGGCGAAAGCGGCUCUCUGGCCUGUAACUGACACUGAGGCUCGAAAGCGUGGGGAGCAAACAGGAUUAGAAACCCCUGUAGUCC
rnacentral:rRNA from 1 species